AUAAGAUAAGAACGCAGUUUUUGUUUAUUUGCUCAAACACAUUGCGCUCGUUUUGCCUAAAACCAUUGCUUUCACUUUUCCGCAAACGCAUUAUGCUCUAACCAAUGAAUUAAUGGUAACUAAAACCGAAGCUUUGUUUCGAUUUUUCGAAUUUUCUGUCUUGCAGCGGCAUUCGCUCAAAUGGAUUUUAAAAGUGAUGCUACGAUUCCACUUGGAAAAUACAAACUACUUUGCAACCUUAAAACCUGAGAUUCUGAUAAAUGUAAAUAUCGAUGAAACAGCUGGCGAACUUUUCACUUUUGUUUCAUGAGUAUGGACAUUUAAGUUUACAAAAUCAUCACAUCAAUUUUUAUAACAAGGGAAAAUGUGAAUGAAGAGAAAAUACGGCUAUGAUAACGACCAUAAUAGUAAUGCCGAUUGGUGGGUCCGACGGUGGAGCUGCGGCCGACUUCGCUCUUAAAUGAGAUACCGACACCUCCAGCAAGACUGCCAGGACGUUGCAGUGAUUUGCAAGCAUUCAGACGCGCAGUUCCUCGCUGUCAGGAUCACACUUCUCGCCGCUGCGCUUAUUAUUGAAUUCCAAGGGUCUUCCUUCUGCCUGAAGUGUACUAAUGUGCAAUCUACGGUCGAAACGGGAUAAAAUUAUGCCAAAGUUCCAGCUACCAUUGGCGAUAUUUCAUCCAAGGCUGUUACACGUAAACGAUUAUCUUUUUAUAUCAUACAGUAGUGGUCAAUAAAUUGUUAACAUCUGA